rnacentral:tRNA from 1 species
GGUUAUAUGCCCGAAAGAAUAAGGAUUAUUUUGAUAGAAUAAAUUAUAAGAGUUCAAACCUCUUUAUAACCC